rnacentral:rRNA from 1 species
UACAGAGGGUGCGAGCGUUGUUCGGAAUUACUGGGCGUAAAGGGCGCGUAGGCGGCCUUCUAAGUCGAACGUGAAAUCCCCGGGCUCAACCCGGGAACUGCGUCCGAUACUGGAAGGCUUGAAUCCGGGAGAGGGAUGCGGAAUUCCAGGUGUAGCGGUGAAAUGCGUAGAUAUCUGGAGGAACACCGGUGGCGAAGGCGGCAUCCUGGACCGGCAUUGACGCUGAGGCGCGAAAGCCAGGGGAGCAAACGGG